UACGUAGGGUGCGAGCGUUGUCCGGAAUCACUGGGCGUAAAGGGCGCGUAGGCGGCCUGAUAAGUAGGGGGUGAAAUCCUGCGGCUUAACCGCAGGGCUGCCUUCUAAACUGUCAGGCUAGAGCACAGUAGAGGCAGGUGGAAUUCCCGGUGUAGCGGUGGAAUGCGUAGAGAUCGGGAAGAACAUCAGUGGCGAAGGCGGUCUGCUGGGCCGUUGCUGACGCUGAGGCGCGACAGCGUGGGGAGCAAACAGG
rnacentral:rRNA from 1 species